UUGUUCUUAAAUAUAAAUAAUUUAAAAAGUUAUCAAAGGAAAUCUUGAUAGAAAAAUAAAGACGUCGCGCGACGAAACAUCAUAGGAAGGCACUUGCUUAUGAACUAUGAGUUUCUUUAAGAAAACUUGCAUUUAAUAUGCUAAUAAACAUCUAUGCGAAUUGAAUCAUCUUAGUAGCAUAUUAAAAAAUCAAACGAGAACUUGUAAGUAACGGUGAGUGAACACGAGCUUAGCUAUACGUUGAAAUCCAAAGAAGGU
rnacentral:rRNA from 1 species